AACAUGCAAACAUAGAUUUCAAAAUAUACUUCAAUGAAAUGAGGCAAAAAGGGUCCUGGCAAAUGAGGCAAAGGACAGUUCUCUUUUACAGAGUAGGGCUUUCUUUUCAGUGAUUGAGUCUUUGCAGGAAAAAAAUACAGACAGAACAGAACGAAGCUAACCGGACAAAUCGAAUACAAAGAAACAGUGAAGUGAAACUCUCAAGUGUCUUUGUGGAAUGAGCUCAGGCAUCCCCUGGCGUGCACUCGCUUGGCCCGACCUGUGUAAACGGUCACAGUCAAGCAAACGGCCAUACAUCAGAUACCGUUUCGAUGUGACAGCGCCUAUCACUAUCAACAAUGCUUAUCCGGCAUGGAAUCUGUAGCAGCAUUCCAGAGCAUACGCGAGGUAACAAUAGCAGGAAGACUCCGUGGAGCCCUGGUUUAACUAUGACCUGAAGCGGCCCCAACACUGCAGUCUGACCUGUUCUGCCUCGUGGAGAGCGGUCAUGGUGAGGGGAAAAGGGUGUGUGAUGACUUAUCUCUGCUAUGCUGUAAAUGCCAGAGAUGCAGUGGCAAUGAAGUAACAUAGGAGCCCGUGUGAAACGCCAGCCAGAAGAACAAAAAAAAUAAAUAAUAACAAA